rnacentral:rRNA from 1 species
GACGAACCGUGCGAACGUUGUUCGGAAUCACUGGGCCUAAAGGGCGCGUAGGCGGCUUUUCAAGUCAGGGGUGAAAUCCGGCAGCUCAACUGUCGAAGUGCCCUUGAUACUGAUGAGCUCGAGGGAGGUAGGGGUAUGUGGAACUUCCGGUGGAGCGGUGAAAUGCGUUGAUAUCGGAAGGAACGCCGGUGGCGAAAGCGACGUACUGGACCUCUUCUGACGCUGAGGCGCGAAAGCUAGGGGAGCAAACGGG